rnacentral:rRNA from 1 species
GACGAACGCUGGCGGCGUGCCUAAUACAUGCAAGUAGAACGCUUAAGGAGGAGCUUGCUUCUCUGGCUGAGUUGCGAACGUGUGAGUAACGCUUAGGUAACCUGCCUGGUAGCGGGGGAUAACUAUUAGAAACUAUAGCUAAUACCGCAUAAGAGUAGAUGUUGCAUGACAUUUGCUUAAAAGGUGCAAUUGCAUCACUACCAGAUGGACCUGCGUUGUAUUAGCUAGUUGGUGGGGUAACGGCUCACCAAGGCGACGAUACAUAGCCGACCUGAGAGGAUGAUCGGACACACUGGGACUGAGACACGGCCCAGACUCCUACGGGAGGCAGCAGUAGGGAAUAUUCGGCAAUGGACGGAAGUAUGACCGAGCAACGCCGCGUGAGUGAAGAAGGUUUUCGGAUAGUAAAGCUCUGUUGUAAGAGAAGAAGGAGUGUGAGAGUGGAAAGUGCAGACUGGGACGGAAUCGUACAAGAAGGACAGGCUGAAUUAGGA